AUUGAACGCUGGCGGCAGGCUUAACACAUGCAAGUCGAGCGAGCGGCGGACGGGUGAGUAAUGUAUGGGAAACUGCCUGAUGGAGGGGGAUAACUACUGGAAACGGUAGCUAAUACCGCAUACCAUCAGAUGUGCCCAGAUGGGAUUAGCUAGUAGGUGGGGUAAUGGCUCACCUAGUCGACGAUCCCUAGCUUGUGUGGGAGGAUGAUGAGCCACACGGGAACUGAGACACGGUGCAGACUCCUACGGGAGGCAGCAGUGGGGACUAUUGCACAAAGGGCGCAAGACUGAUGCAGCCAUGCCGCGUGGAUGAAGAAGGCCUUAGGGUUGUAAAGUACUUUCAGCGGGGAGGCGUUACCCGCAGAAGAAGCACCGGCUAACUCCGUGCCAGCAGCCGCGGUAAUUC
rnacentral:rRNA from 1 species